rnacentral:rRNA from 1 species
AUUGAACGCUGGCGGCAGGCCUAACACAUGCCAGUCGAGCGAUCGGCGGACGGGUGAGUAAUGUCUGGGAAACUGCCUGAUGGAGGGGGAUAACUACUGGAAACGGUAGCUAAUACCGCAUACCAUCCGAUGCGCCCAGAUGGGAUUAGCUAGUAGUGGGGGUAACGGCCCACCUAGGCGACGAUCCCUAGCUGGUCUGAGAGGAUGCCCCGCCACACUGGAACUAAGACAGGGUCCAGACUCAUACGGGAGGCAGCAGUGGGGAAUAUUGCACAAUGGGCGCAAGCCUGAUGCAGCCAUGCCGCGUGUGUGAAGAAGGCCUUCGGGUUGUAAAGCACUUUCAGCGGGGAGGCGUUACCCGCAGAAGAAGCACCGGCUAACUCCGUGCCAGCAGCCGCGGUAAUAC